UUACAUAAAGCUAAGGCAUUUAAAUGUUAAUUAAAUUUUUCUCUUUUAAGAGUGUGUAAU
rnacentral:tRNA from 1 species